UACGGAGGAUCCAAGCGUUAUCCGGAUUCAUUGGGUUUAAAGGGUGCGUAGGCGGGAUGAUAAGUCAGUGGUGAAAUCCUACAGCUUAACUGUAGAACUGCCAUUGAUACUGUCAACCUUGAGUACAUUUGAAGUGGGCGGAAUGUGUCAUGUAGCGGUGAAAUGCUUAGAUAUGACACAGAACACCGAUAGCGAAGGCAGCUCACUAAACUGUAACUGACGCUGAGGCACGAAAGCGUGGGGAUCAAACAGGAUUAGAUACCCUGGUAGUCCACGCCGUAAACGAUGAUUACUCGAUGUGUGCGAUAUACUGUACGCGUCUGAGCGAAAGCAUUAAGUAAUCCACCUGGGGAGUACGGUCGCAAGAUUG
rnacentral:rRNA from 1 species